UACGUAGGGUGCAAGCGUUAAUCGGAAUUACUGGGCGUAAAGCGUGCGCAGGCGGUUGUGCAAGACAGAUGUGAAAUCCCCGGGCUUAACCUGGGAAUUGCAUUUGUGACUGCACGGCUAGAGUGUGUCAGAGGGGGGUAGAAUUCCACGUGUAGCAGUGAAAUGCGUAGAUAUGUGGAGGAACACCGAUGGCGAAGGCAGCCCCCUGGGUUAACACUGACGCUCAUGCACGAAAGCGUGGGGAGCAAACAGG
rnacentral:rRNA from 1 species